UACCAAUUAUAAAAUUCAUCUUUAGGCUACAAAAUAAAUUGCCUUAAAUAUCAACUUAAGUCUGCAUAAGGAGGAGGUCGGGGUGGACGGGUGAUCAAGUAAACACAGGAUUUUCACCCAGGAGAAGGCUGUUCCUAAAACUGUUGUUGCUG